rnacentral:rRNA from 1 species
AACUGAGACACUGUCCGGACUCCUACGGGAGGCUGCAGUAACGAAUCUUCCGCAAUGAGCGAAAGCUUGACGGAGCAAUGCCGCGUGUAGGAUGAAUCUCUUCGGAGUGUAAACUACUGUCAGAGACUAGGAACACAAUGACCAAUCUCAAAGGAAGGGCCGGCUAACUUCGUGCCAGCAGCCGCGGUAAUACGAAGGGCCCGAGCGUUAUUCGGAAUCACUGGGCUUAAAGCGUGCGUAGGCGGACUUGUAGGCGUUUUGUGAAAUCCCUCGGCUCAACCGAGGAACUGCAGAGCGAACCCCAAGUCUUGAGACAGACAGAGGUCGUCGGAACGAUUGGUGGAGUGGUGAAAUGCGUUGAUAUCAAUCGGAACGCCGAAGGAGAAGUCAGGCGACUGGGUCUGUUCUGACGCUGAGGUACGAAAGCGUGGGUAGCGAACGGGAUUAGAUACCCCGGUAGUCCACGCCGUAAACGAUGUGCACUAGGUCGGGGAAGCUCUGACGCUAUUCCCGGCCGAAGCAAAAGUGUUAAGUGCACCGCCUGGGGAGUACGGUCGCAAGGCUAAAACUCAAAGGAAUUGACGGGGGCUCACACAAGCGGUGGAGCAUGUGGCUUAAUUCGAAGCAACGCGAAGAACCUUAUCCUAGGUUUGACAUACACGGAUUAGCUAUAAGAAACUAUAGUGACACCUUCGGGUGGAACGUGAACAGGUGCUGCAUGGCUGUCGUCAGCUCGUGCUGUGAAGUGUCGGGUUAAGUCCCUUACGAGCGCAACCCUUAUCGUUAGUUGCUAACCUGUCUCU